rnacentral:rRNA from 1 species
AACAAACGCUGGCGGCGUGCCUAAUACAUGCAAGUCGAACGGGGAAAGCUUUCGGGUGAGUACUAGUGGCGCACGGGUGAGUAACGCGUGGAUAAUCUGCCUUAGAGAGGGGGAUAACUAGUCGAAAGAUUAGCUAAUACCGCAUAAGACCACAAGAUCUGCGGAUCAAGGGGUCAAAGGUUUUUCGCUCUAAGAUGAGUCCGCGUAAGAUUAGCUAGUUGGUGAGGUAAUGGCUCACCAAGGCGACGAUCUUUAACUGGUCUGAGAGGAUGAUCAGUCACACUGGAACUGAGACACGGUCCAGACUCCUACGGGAGGCAGCAGUAGGGAAUAUUGCACAAUGGAGGAAACUCUGAUGCAGCGACGCCGCGUGAGUGAUGAAGGCCUUCGGGUCGUAAAGCUCUGUCGCAGGGGAAUAACACAAUGAAUGUACCCUGUAAGAAAGGAUCGGCUAACUUCGUGCCAGCCGCCGCCGUAACAC